CUCGGAGGGAACUGAACGCGGGUGGGUGGGAAAGGGGUUGCAGGAGGACCGACCCCGGGGGCCAUGCGCGUCCCAACCCCGGUUUGCUUACUACGGGGCGGGUGGGAAAAGGGUAGGGAGAGGGAUGGCCCCGCUGCGCCCUCGAAGCAUUUCUGGCCCUGCGGGAGGAGCCGUGGAGCGGCCGGUGGCGGUGGAUGGACGCGUGGCGGGACGUGGGAGAGCCCGAGAGGGGACUUCUACCAUGGAUGCUUCAGUGGAGAUUGCUGCAUCGCAGGGGGGUUGGACUAAAGGACCUUUGGGGAUCCCGUCUGACUACAGUUCUGUGGUUCUCCGCGCUGAGGAAGUGCGGCAGGGUCGGGAGGAGGGCGCGGUGCCCGAGAAAGAAAGAGAGAGAGAGAGAGAGAGAGAAAGAAAGAAAGAAAGAGAAAGAAAGAGCCUUCAGUAACUUGUGGGGGGGGGGGGGGACACGUCUGGAGGAGCCAGGAAGUGAGAGUCUUGCUCACCCUAAAGAGCAGCGCACAGGCGAUGAUGGUGAUGGGUCUUGCUUGCCUUUUUAAAAGCUUGGACGUGAGGGGUUUUUGCAGGUGGGUUGACACCAAAAUAUGAGGCAGAGAGGAACAGAGACCUUAAAGCAGGUGGUCUGGAGAAGAGAGCUGUGUGUCUAGUGAGGGGUUGGGGGAGGUUGUGUGAAGGAUCAAAGGCAAGUUCAGGGUUGCCACUCCUUCUUUCCCCCCUUUUCCUCCCCCUUGGCAAGAGGUUUAAGCAGAAAUCCAUCAAUCGCAGGAAUAGGGAGAAUGGCACCCUGCUGGAUUUCGUCCUGUUAAAAGGGUGCAGAGCAGGCGCCAAGGAAAAGGUGGCAACCCUUGGGAAGUGGACUGGGGGGAGCGCAGGAAAAAAGGGAUGGUUGGGGAGGAAGGGUGCCUGUGGGAGUACAAUCGAGGACUUCUCACACGCUCUUUUAAAAACUGGGAUUGGGGGCAAAAUCUAUGGGGCGAAGAGAAGUUAUGAGGGGCUGGUAGAGGUUGGAUUCUGGGGGCGGGGGGUAUGGAGAAACCGGAGCGAAAAACUGGGAGAAGAUGGUGUGGGGGAUGCUGUGUGGGUUGCAGAGAGAGAUAAUUGGGAGUGUUGGUGGGGGGAAUUGAAGGGAGCUCAGGGGAGAGGCUGAAUGGCAGCAAAGUGAUGUAGGCAGAGAGUGAGUGAAUGAGACAUUAACAAAGCAAGGAGGGUCUUGUAUUUGUGGAGGAGUAAGAACGUGUGUGAAAAGCCGAAUGCCUUGCCCUGGGAGGAAUGGAGACAAAGAAAAGCUGAGCCUCUGUUAACAAAACGCAGCAAAUUAGCAACAGUUAAAAUCAUGGUUGUGUAACUAUUGUCCCUAAAAUAUCACAAAAGACGUUCAAACAAUCAAGCUGUGCAAUCAAGUUAUUAAAGUGACUUCAUCUCAAGCAUCAAAGUGUAUUUUCUCUCCCACCCACCACCCGAAAUGGCCCUGUCACCAGCUAAUUUGUCCAGAAAUAAAUAAAUCUGUGGCCACAGUUAUUCCAAUCAGGUAACACUGAGCAUGAAAGGCACACAUUCUGUUCCUUAUAGCCUCCGUCAUCCUAUGUCCAUCUUCAAACUAGAGGUGGAAUCAUCUUAUGCAGGAUAUUUUAGAGUUCCACACCAACUCAUGUCCUCAUAUCACUAAAUGUUUAAUUGAACAUGGAGUUUCUAUCAGUAUGUAUUUCUGAAAAUGGGGAAAAUGUCUACUCAUUUCUCUCUUCUCCCCUCCUGAGAAAUUUGCAGUUGGAAACAUACAGAAUUAUUUUGUGUGCAUAAGCCAAUGUGUGCCUCUCAUGUAAUGUGUCUAUAGCCAGUUUUUCCUCAUCUGUGCAUUUUGUUGCUAUAAACAGACAUGGUGCUGUUUUAAUUCUGUGCAUUAUUGUUUCUUUUAGGGUCCAGUGAGGACCGGGAUAGCUGAGUUGGUUAGAGGGGUAGUGCUGAUAACACCAAGGUUGCAGCUUUGAUCCCAGAGCUCAACAACUUCGGGGUAAAAUUGAGAAAAAAGAAAAAAGCUCAACAACUUCAAUCCUUUAAAAAGGUCAGCAACUUUGGUCAGCCCUCAUGCAUGUUCACUUAUUCAAAUCUGGCCCUCUUUGAAAAAAGUUUGGGCACCCCUGGACUAGAUGGUCUUUAGGGUCCCUUCCAACUCUAUGGUUCUGUAUGAUUUAGACUUAAGAAAUAGGCCUUCAGGAAAGAAAGGCUAAAGGUCAGUACACACAAUAGAAGAUCAAGAAUACAUCUUGGGUGGAAUGUAUACAGUGGUACCUCCAGUUACGAACUUAAUCAGUUCUGGAGGUCCAUUUGUAACCUGAAACCACUCGUAACAUGAAGCGUGCUUUCGCUAAUGUCACCUCCUGCUGCUGCCGCGCUGCCGGCACUCGACUUCCGCUCGCAUCCCGGGGCAAAGUUUGCAACAUGGGGCAUCUACUUACGGGUUAGCGGAGCUUGUAACCUGCAGCGUUCGCAAGGAGGACGGUAUAUAACACGAGGUUCCACUGUACUUUGGUUUUGAAAUUCUGAUGUGAACAGAAGCAGAAGUAUAUACAGUGGUACCUCAGGUUAAGAACUUAAUUCGUUCUGGAGGCCCGUUCUUAACCUGAAACUGUUCUUAACCUGAAGCACCACUUUAGCUAAUGGGGCCUCCCGCUGCCGCCGCACCGCCGUUGCACAAUUUCUGUUCUCAUCCUAAAGCAAAGUUCUUAACCCAAGGUACUAUUUCUGGGUUAGCGGAGUCUGUAACCUGAAGCAUCUGUAACCUGGGGUACCACUGUAUUCAGGUCACUAGCCUCCCCCCCACACUCUUUUUUCAGGUCUUGUAGGUCAUCAGUAAGUGCAUCUUUUAUUCCACACAUUUGUGUUUGGAGAAUCUGACAGUGAGGGUGGGUCAUAUUUCCACGGGCUCGUCGCAUUGGCUGAUCACAUUUGGUGGACAUUCUCAAUAGAAGGCGAUGGCAUCAGGUCUAGAAGGAACCCCCUGGUGACUCCCAUUCGUUUGCCUGAUUAAAUGGACAGCUGUUUCUGGUUUGGUGCAGUAAGUAAUCUAUAUUUGAGGGAGCAUGAGGAGAGAUUGCAGUUGUGGAAGAGUUCUGACAGAUGCUAACACAAAAGGUCUGUAUGCCUGACAUUCAGUCUGAAAACGAGGCUAUUGCAUUACCGAUCAUAUUUUUAAAAGGAGGCAAUCACAAGGGAGGAAAUGGCAUAUGUCACGAAAUACAUUUGUCAGGAAACCAGUGUCACUCCAGUGGAUAAUGUAAUAUACAAACUUGCCCUAAACACUCUUCAAGUUACUUUUAUCUUGGAUAGUUAGAUUUCAGGUAGGUACCACCGGCAGGGGGGAGGGGGCAAAGGAUACUCCCUUUUAGAUACUCAGUUGCCUUGUUUUUAAUGUAUUGCAGUAGUAGGUUACAUCUUCCAUACCCCGUGGCAAUGUGUGUAUUAUCUAGUUCAUGGGUAGGCAAACUGAGGCCCAGGGGCCAAAUCCGGCCCAAUCGCCUUCUAAAUCUGGCCCGCGGACGGUCCAGGAAUCAGCAUAGUUUUACAUGAGUAGAAUGUGUCCUUUUCUUUAAAAUGCAUCUCUGGAUUAUUUGUGAGGCAUAGGAAUUCGUUCAUUUUUCCCCCUUCAAAAUAUAGUCCAGCCCCCUAUGAGGUCUGAGGGACAGUGGACCGGUCCCCUGCUGAAAAAGUUUGCUGACCCCUGAUCUAGUUGGACUGCAGUGAUGUUCUCUCUCACACACACUCCUUAAAAGAUGGAACCAUUUUAUCAUGGCAGAAGACUUUGUGGGCCAGAAUUGAUCACAAAUAUGAAAUGUUCAGCUAAGUAGGUAAGGUAUAAGCACGCUCUGAAUGCUGAGAGAUCAUGUGUGGUUCCACACCUCCUGCCCAGGUGAAGAAUGUUGAAGGCCAAACAAUGUUACAGACAGUCGCUGGUGUCGCCACACAACACUGAGCAGCACAAAUAAACUAUGAGAUUGACAUGGCUUCUGAAUGGGGCGGAUUAACCGUUCUGCUUCAGAGGCCAAGCUUUCGUUCACUUGAGGAUAAGGGCACAUUUAAAAGUUUGGUAGAACUGGUUUUUAACACACAUUCAGUGCAUUCCAUGGUAUUUGUUUUCAAGGCGGCAGCAGCCCGCACCAUGCUUAGAACAUAGGUCUUGAUUUUACCCUGAGAUUACCUCUGCUUCCUGGCGAAGGGGUCUGUUCUGCUCCUUGAGAAAUCCACAGUUCACAGUAUGAUCCCACUGACAGCAGGACCCCGCUUCCACUUGGCCACGUGAUAAGGGAUCCCGGAUGAGGGGUUGUGUUCCGAGUUAGGGAAAGCUGAAAAUGCUGGUGGGGCAUGACACAACACAGAUAGGAAAUUAGAUGUGUACCUGGGUGGACAGAGAAGAAUAAGAGGCGCAGACAUCAAAGUGCCUGAUACCUUUUCCUGGAUCGUUCAGCCCGGACACUGAGAUCCAGCGCCGAGGGCCUUCUGGCUGUUCCCUCAUUGCGAGAAGUGAGGUUACAGGGAACCAGACAGAGGGCCUUCUCGGUAGUGGCGCCCGCCCUGUGGAACGCCCUCCCUUCAGAUGUCAAGGAAAUAAGCAGCUGUCUUAUCUUUAAAAGACAUCUGACGGCAGCCUUGUUUAGGGAAGUUUUUAAUAUUUAAUGCUGUAUUGUUUUUAACAUUCGAUUGGAAGCCGCCCAGAGUGGCUGGGGAAACUCAGCCAGAUGGGCAGGGAAUGAAUGAAUGAAUGAAUGAAUGAAAUGGUGUAAGUUUCGCUCCUAUGCUAACUGAACUGAUCAGCCCACCAUAUAGGAGCUAACUCCUAGGGGGUUGUUGGGGCUUUGACCCCACAAUAAAAUGUUUGGGGGGAGCCUGCAAGUAGGAAACAGAAAAACCGAAAUAUAGGAAAUAGGGGUGCAGAAGGACCUAUAAUGUGCAAAGAGUGUUGUGGAAUACAUCAGAAAAGGGCAAAAUGGAGACGAGACUGCAGAGAGAAGAGUGGGUGGAGAAGAGAAGAAAAGAAAAGAAAAAGAAAUAGGGUAAUUUGGCUACAGAGAUUUAAGGGUAGAGAAAACUGAGUAUGAACUUUAGGAUAGGGAAAGAGAAAGAAAGCUGUGGAAUGGAGAGACCACAGGAAGGGUUAACAGAAAAAGAUUAUGAGGAACCUGAAAUGAUGCAAAGAGAGGAAAAGUCUAUGGAGUGUAGACAGAAAAGGGGAAGUUAACAGUGAAUGUCUGGUUUUGUUUUAAAGAAACAUGCUUUUCCAGAAAUAAGGUAGCAAGGCAGCCUUUUUGAUGCUGCCCUCAACGUGCUUUGUCUUGUGAGCCGGAAUCUAUGGCGAUCUCAAGCCGCCGGCAUCAUAUAAAUCUUUAUCGCUGUACAAAACUUACACUAAACUUUGCUGGCAUAAAACUGCCCAAGAUGAAUGUGGUUUUUCUGAAGGUCACCAGGCCUGCAUGCCCACUACUGUAAUGACCAGCUUUCCUUUACAGAUUGUUCACACCAUAGUUAGGUAAGUGCGAUUGUGAUUUUAAAGGGUAUAACGAUUCAAUAUCCUGCCUUUUAUUUAUUUUUUACCGCCUGGUCUAAAACAUCUGAUAAAGAAAACAAUGAUGCCGUGUUCUGCCAAAUGCUCCAAAGGAACCAAAGCAUGUUUAAAGGCAUGGCUCGUUGGCUGCUAUGUUCAUGCCGUGCCUAUGAUGGUUAGGGACUCUUACAGAUGGUCACCUUUUAAGCACAACACACAGUUGUUGCUCUUUGAAAACAGUAACCAGUCAGAUGAGAUGCUUGAUCCUCGGCCUCCUAUUUUGCAUUGGAAAAUCUCAGGAAGGAUAGCUUGUUAAGUGGAAAAGGUCACAAAUCUGAAUACCAUGGAUCUGGCAGAUUAUAAUUACUAACUCCGUCAGAUGCUACGUUCAUCCUGGACUGAAAUAUUAGCCAUUCUCACAUAUGGAGACCAGGUGGGAAAAGAAGAUCUGGUUAAUGUUUUGAAAAUGUGAGAAGACAUGUGGGAAUUGGUUUUCUCUUUUUGCACAAUUAAAACAAAAAAUACGUUGGCAGACUCCAAAUACAUUGAUCAAGGAAAAUUAACAAGUUACGAAAAAGGUAAUUUUAAAAACUCUGCAAGGAUUACAAAAUCUAUUAAUGGGUUGAUAAGGUACAAAUAUUAUAAAUAUAUAUAUGAGAUCUACUCUGGACUUCUUAUGAGUCAUUGUUUUCUGUUAAGUAUAUAAAUUAAAUAUAUGCUUGGUAAAUCUUCAUGUUUGAAGGUGGGAGGAAAAUUGAUUUUAGCAGUCAGAAACUUUUGUGUAGUUAAUUUACAUCGGAACGAAGCUGUGUGCAUGUGGAUUGCACUUGCAAAAGUGGUAGCAGAUUAUUUAAAUCCGUAGCCCCAUAUUUCAGCAGGAGAGUAGGAGGCACAACUCGAGUCAGACUCAAAAUAAUAAAGGCACAGUUUUGUUGAAUUAAUCUCAUGCAAACAAACAAAUGCCGAAGAUCAAGCGUCUUGCCGUAAUUCUUUUCUGGAUCAUGCUUUGUGGUGAUAGUUGAUUCUCUAGCCUCUAGGCACUUGGCCAUCUUAUAUUUCUAAUAUUUUGUGUUAUUGGUUGGUAUUAGGGGGCUGUCAGGAUACUAGAAGCUGCUUUAUGCUGAAUCAGACCAUUGGUUCAUCUCAAUAUUCUCUACACUGACUGUCAGUGGGUCACCAGAGUUGCAGGCUGGAUAUUUCUGGAGAUGCUAGGAAUUGGACCUGUGACCUUCUGCAUGCAAACCAGAUGUUCUGCCACUGAGCUAUGACCUUGCUUUGGGUCUUUCUUAACUCAAUGUGCAGUACAGUGGUGCCCCGCAAGACGAAUGCCUCGCAAGACGGAAAAACCGCUAGACGAAAGGGUUUUCCGUUUUGAAGUUGCUUCGCAGGACGAAUUCCCCUAUGGGCUUGCUUUGCAAGACGAAAAUAUCUUGCGAGUCUUGAGAUUUUUUUUUCGCUCCCCCCCCCCUUUAUCUAAUCUGCUAAGCCUUUAAUAGCCUUUAAUAGCCUUUUAGCAGCUAAUCCCCUAAGCCUUUAAGCCUUUAAUAGCCGCUAAACCGCUAAUAGCGCUAUUAGCGCUAAUCCGUCAAUGGGCUUGCUUCGCAAGACGAAAAAACCGCUAGACGAAGACUCUCGUGGAACGGAUUAAUUUCGUCUUGCGAGGCACCACUGUAUUGUUCUUUGACCGUAUUCUAUUCUAUUGUUAAGUUUUAUUCCAUACAGUGGUACCUCAGGUUACAUACGCUUCAGGUUACAUACGCUUCAGGUUACAGACUCCGCUAAACCAGAAAUAGUGCUUCAGGUUAAGAACUUUGAAUCAUAGAAUCAUAGAAUCAUAGAGUUGGAAGAGACCACAAGGGCCAUCGAGUCCAACCCCCUGCCAAGCAGGAAACACCAUCAGAGCACUCCUGACAUAUGGUUUUCAAGCGUCUGCUUAAAGACCUCCAAAGAAGGAGACUCCACCACACUCCUUGGCAGCAAAUUCCACUGUCGAACAGCUCUUACUGUCAGGAAGUUCUUCCUAAUGUUUAGGUGGAAUCUUCUUUCUUGUAGUUUGGAUCCAUUGCUCCGUGUCCGCUUCUCUGGAGUAGCAGAAAACAACCUUUCUCCCUCCUCUCUGUGACAUCCUUUUAUAUAUUUGAACAUGGCUAUCAUAUCACCCCUUAACCUCCUCUUCUCCAGGCUAAACAUGCCCAGCUCUCUUAGCCGUUCCUCAUAAGGCAUCGUUUCCAGGCCUUUGACCAUUUUGGUUGCCCUCCUCUGGACACAUUCCAGUUUGUCAGUGUCCUUCUUGAACUGUGGUGCCCAGAACUGGACACAGUACUCCAGGUGAGGUCUGACCAGAGCAGAAUACAGUGGCACUAUUACUUCCCUUGAUCUAGAUGCUAUACUCCUAUUGAUGCAGCCCAGAAUUGCAUUGGCUUUUUUAGCUGCCGCGUCACACUGUUGGCUCAUGUCAAGUUUGUGGUCAACCAAGACUCCUAGAUCCUUUUCACAUGUACCAGGUGUCACCCAUCUUGUAUUUGUGCCUCUCAUUUUUUUUGCCCAAGUGCAAUACUUUACAUUUCUCCCUGUUAAAAUUCAUCUUGUUUGUUUUGGCCCAGUUCUCUAAUCUGUCAAGGUCGUUUUGAAGUGUGAUCCUGUCCUCUGGGGUGUUAGCCACCCCUCCCAAUUUGGUGUCAUCUGCAAAUUUGAUCAGGAUGCCCUUGAGUCCAUCAUCCAGGUCGUUGAUAAAAAUGUUGAAUAAGACCGGGCCCAAGACAGAACCCUGUGGCACCCCACUAGUCACUCUUCUCCAGGAUGAAGAGGAACCAUUGAUGAGCACCCUUUGGGUUCGGUCAGUCAGCCAGUUACAAAUCCACUGAGUGGUAGCAUAGUCAAGACCACAUUUUACCAGCUUCUUUACAAGAAUAUCAUGAGGCACCUUGUCAAAUGCCUUGCUGAAAUCAAGGUAGGCUACAUCCACUGCGUUCCCUUCAUCUAGCAGGCUUGUAAUUCUGACAAACAACGAGAUCAGGUUAGUCUGACAUGACUUAUUUUUCAGAAAUCCAUGCUGACUAUUGGUGAUCACAGCAUUCCUUUCUAGGUGCUCACAGACUGUUUGCUUACUGAUCUGCUCCAGAAUCUUCCCUGGUAUUGAUGUCAGACUAACUGGGCGGUAAUUAUUUGGGUCCUCUCUUUUCCCCUUUUUUUGAAAAUAGGGACAACAUUUGCCCUCCUCCAGUCUGCCGGGACUUCGCCUGUUCUCCAGGAAUUCUCAAAGAUGAUUGCCAGUGGUUCUGAGAUCACAUCUGCCAGUUCUUUUAAUACUCUUGGAUGCAGUUCAUCUGGCCCUGGAGACUUGAAUACAUCUAAACUAGCCAAGUAUUCUUGUACUAUCUCCUUAGUUAUUCUGGGCUGUGUUUCCUUUGCUGAAUCAUUUGCUCCAAAUUCUUCAGGUCGGGCAUUGUUUUCUUUAUCGGAGAAGACUGAGGCAAAGAAGGCAUUGAGGAGUUCAGCCCUUUCUGUGUCCCCUGUUUGCAUUUCACCAUCUUCUCCUCUGAGUGACCCCACUGUUUCUUUGUUCUUCCUUUUGCUACGGACAUACCCAUAAAAGCCGUUUUUGUUGCUUUUAACCUCUCUAGCAAGCCUGAGUUCAUUCUGUGCUUUAGCUUUUCUGACUUUGUGUCUACACGUGCUGGCUAUUUGUUUGAAUUCCUCUUUGGUGGUUUCGCCCCUUUUCCAUUUUUUGUACACAUCCUUUUUAAUCUUAACUCAGUUAAAAGUUCUUUAGAUAGCCACCCUGGCUUCUUUAGGCACCUUCCAUGUUUCCGUCUCAUUGGUAUUGCCUGACGUUGUGCUUUUAGUAUCUCCCUCUUAACAAACUCCCAGCCAUCAUGAACUCCCUUUCCUUUUAGUAUUACUGUCCAUGGGAUCUCACCCAGCACUUCCCUAAGUUUUAUGAAGUCAGCUUUCUUAAAGUCAAGAAAUUGAGUCCUAGUAUGCUUGGCUGCUCCUUUCCGCUGUAUAGUAAACUUCAGAAGAGCAUGAUCACUCGUGCCUAAUGAUCCUUCCACUUCUACCCCACUAACCAGGUCAUCAACAUUGGUUAGGACCAGAUCUAAAAUGGCUGUUCCUCUUGUUGCUUCUCCCACUUUCUGGACAAUGAAGUUGUCUGCAAGGCCAGUGAGGAAUCUGUUUGACCUUAUGCUCUUGGCUGAGUUUGACAUCCAACAAAUAUCCGGGUAAUUGAAGUCCCCCAUUACUACUAUCUCCCUUCCUUUUGCAUGCUUGGCCAUCUGUUCCAGGAAGGCAUCAUCUAUGUCCUCCGUUUGGCUUGGGGAUCUAUAGUAAACUCCCACAAUGAGGUCACUGUUAUUCUUCUCUCCCUUAAUUUUGACCCAAAUGCUCUCACUUUGGUUUUGAGGUUCUAAAUCUUGGAUCUCUUCACAGGUAUACACAUCCCUGACAUAUAACGCCACUCCUCCUCCUUUCUUGUCUGGUCUGUUUCUCUGAAAUAGAUUGUAUCCCCCCAUUAUUACAUUCCAAUCUUGGGACUUAUCCCACCAGGUUUCAGUGAUGCCUAUUAUGUCAUAUUUAGUUUGCUGUACCAAGAGCUCAAGCUCAUCUUGUUUAUUUCCCAUGCUUUGCGCAUUAGUGUACAGACAUUGAAGUCCAUUAAUCAUUCCCCGUGACUCUUAUUUAAGGAUUUUUUCCUCCCACCACUAGGUCUGUGUGCUGUUUGCUCCAUUUGGUCUAUGACAUUUGGAUGAUCAUCUUCAUCAAUUGAUAGACUCCUACCUUCAGGAGCAUUGUCUCCCUCCCCCACAUUAGUCAGUUUAAAGCCCUCCUGAUGAGGUUUCUGAGAUUUUUGGCAAAAACAUUUCUCCCAACCGUUGUGAGGUGCAGCCCAUCGCUUGCCAGAAGUCCAUCUUCAAGAAACUGCAGUCCGUGAUCUAAGAAUCCAAACCGUUCCUGUUUACACCAUUUGCGAAGCCAGCUGUUCACUUCCACUAUUUUUCCCUCUCUCCCUGGACCACGUCGUUCAACUGGGAGGACAGAUGAGAUCACAAUUUGUGCAUUUAAUUGCUUCAAUUUCCUGCCCAGAGCCUCGUAGUCUCUUUUGAUCUUCUGGAGGCUAUUGCUUGCAGUGUCAUUGGUUCCCACAUGAACUAAGAGGAAGGGGUAUUUGUCAGUGGGUUUUAUGAUUCCUUGCAGUCGUUCAGUUACAUCUUGGAUCUUAGCCCGGGAGACAGCACACUUCCCGAGACAUCUUGUCAGGCCCACAGAUCACUGCUUCUGUUCCCUCAGUAGGGAAUCCCCUAUCACCACUACACGCCUCCUCUUAGGUUUGGUCGGGGUUCUUCCGUGAGCUGUCCGCUCCAAGGUCGCCUGCACAUUCCCUGAGGACUGACUUUGCUGCUCAUCUUCAUAUACCUGAUCGACUGUAAUGAGGGAGAGAUCCUCAAAUGGAGUCUGCUCUUCGUCUUCCAUGCUAGGGGAGAGGACCUCAAAGCGAUUGUGUAUUUCUAAACAAUCAGAGCGAACCCUGGGCCUCCUACUUCUUUGAGUCACGUUUCUCCAUAUAUCUGGCUCCUGUGUUGGUGAACUAGCGUCCUUCUCAGGGGAGUCCCCUGUCUCCUCCUUGGUGGAGACGGUGUGCUCUGUUGCUUCCAAGAACAGCUCCAGCUCUCUAAUUCUUUGGAGCGUAGCUACACGUUCCUCCAGUUGCUGGACCUUGUCUUUUAAGAGGGCAAUCAACAUGCAAUUGCUGCAGGUAAAGCUGCCUGCAACCUUUGGCAAGAUGGCAAACAUUGUGCAGGAACCGCAGGCGACUGCAGCUGUUCCCUGCCCCUCCAUCUUGUUAACGUGUCGUUGGGGGUGGCUACAGCAGUCCUCCAUCAUAAAAAGUGUGAAGACAGGAAAAAUAACUCCCCCCACAAAAAAACCUAGGUCUCCCCCAACAAAGGUUUGAGACUAGCUCCCCUAAAUCUAAAAGAUGGAUCAAACUGCGCGCACCGCUGCCCUGCAAGCUCUGAUAAGCUCCUCCCACAGCUAAUCACCUGUCUCAACAGAAACCCUGCCCUCUCUGACCUUUGCACAGGGAGAGCAUCCAAUCAGCCACAAAGAAACACACACACACACACAAGAAAACCCUUUUUGCUCCUUCUUCAACUGCUGCCCUGCAAGCUCUGCAAACUUUGCUUCAGGAUGAGAACAGAAAUCGUGCUCCGGCAGCGCAGCAGCAGCAGCAGCAGGAGGCCCCAUUAGCUAAAGUGGUGCUUCAGGUUAAGAACAGUUUCAGGUUAAGUACAGACCUCCGGAACGAAUUAAGUACUUAACCUGAGGUACCACUGUAUUAUCUUUUAUAUAUUAUGUUGGAAACUACUCUGUGGAUAUCAUUGGAGGUGGUUUUAGGGUAAUGUGACCAGUUCGGCCGCACUGGGUGCCAGCGUCACAGGGGGUGCUGCAGCCAUGAUGUAGAACGGAGUGCAAGAUGCGGGGGCAUCCAAUUUUAGCAUUGUUCAGGGAUCUGCUGAAAUUUGAGGGUCCAGAGGGUGCCAUGUCAUAAAGGGCAGUGUACAAAUCUGAUGAAUAAACAAUACAUAAAUUGUUGGCCCGCAUGGCAGCAGAGGAAAGAGAGAAAGCCCCAGUUUUAUUUUAUUUCUGAGGCCAAUAAAAUGUACUUGGGAGAAUCCCUUAGUUCUGCCUCACAGGUGUGCACAACUGGAGGGUAUAUUUAUUCCUUUAGGGAAGGGAACAGCACAUGCUUUCAUGGAACAUGGAAAUGCCGUUCAGUGGAACAGCACAUGCUCUCAACGCAGAGCAUCUUUCCCAGGUUCUUUCCAUGGCAUCCUCAGUUAAACAGAUCAGGUAUUUGUUUAUUUACAGCAUUCGUUCCUCACCCUUUAUCCAAAAUGGCUCUGAGAGUGGCUCACAUAAAUCAGUUCGGGGAAAGACAUGACAAUCGGGGGGAGGGGGGAAUUGGGAGGGAGGGCGGGAAAAGCAAGCUCAAUCACAUCUUGAGCUUGCAGUUCAGCACACUGAAGCUUACAAGCUUCACACACCAUGGAACCACCCCGACCAUUGGCCAUGUUGGCUGACAGUUGUUAGAAGGCCAUUCACAGAGUAACAAUUCCCAGCUCCUUUAGCAGACUAUGGUCCCCAUAACUUGUUGAAGUGGCAAAUAACCCAACAACCCACCCACCCCACACUUAUACAAACAAGCUACAAGAAAGGUAAAAGGUAAUGUAGGUAAAGGACCCCUGGACAGUUAAGUCCAGUCAAAGGCAACUAUGGGGUUGCGGCGCUCAUCUCGCUUCAGGGCGAGGGAGACGGCGUUUGUCCACAGACUGUUUUCUGGGUCAUGUGGCCAGCAUGACUGGUGCAAUGGGACACCGUGACGGAAACCAGAGCGCACGGAAAUGCUGUUUACCUUCCCACCGCAGCGGUACCUAUUUAUCUACUUGCACUGGUGUGCUUUCGAAUUGCUAGGUUGGCAGGAACUGGGACAGAGCAAUGGGAGCUCGGAUUCGAACCGCCGACCUUCCGAUCGGCAAGCCCAAGAGGCUCAGUGGUUUAGACUACAGCGCCACCUGCUCCCAGCAACACUGCAACCAACUGAAUGCAUCCAACCAAGCUCUGGACCCCCCAACCCCACGCAAUGCCAAUAAAGAUAAACAAAUAUAUAAAUAAGGGACCUACCGAUGAGUUGCUGACACAAUCCCCAUACUAACACUAUGCAAUGGAACGAUAGAACAAUACCCCCUCUUUCUUUCCCCCUUCCCUUCCCCCAGCUGCAAGAUGCCCAUGACAUUAGUAUCUCAUACUGAAGGUUAACGAACUGCUAUAUUUACUUUCCCAUAUUCUGUAACACAAGAAAAUCUUCAAUAAAAACUAAUUUAAAGAUGGUUUUAAUGCAUGGUGUGUUGGUGACCUGAGUGACCUCAGGCAACUCCUUGCGUCGGCAGCCUAAGCUGCCUGGUAGGCUUGUCGUCAGGCUUCAGAUAUUACUCUGGGCUCCUUGAAGGAAGGAGAGGAUGCAAAUGCCAACAGAUAAAUAAAGGCUCUUGCCAAGCAUUUUUAUUCUCUUCCUCCUCUAGCAUGGAAGCGAAUGUUGUGUGCCCCUUGCUUCCCAAGAUUUACAAGCCCAAGAGCAGUUUGAAGAUUGCAGAUUCAGAGGCUAACUGUUGUCAAAUGCUUAGCAAAGCCAUCUGUUUGAAGACAAAUGUUUCCUUAAUGACCAACACACAAGGAAGUUGAUGUUACAUGAAAACAAAACAAAAACCCUCUUCCUGCUGCAUUUACUUGACUGAGAAAGAAGGGGUGAGAUACAGUUGAAAAGUUAACUCUUACUGAAAGGUGAAGGUUUGUUUUCCUCCACUUAUUGGCUGUGUAUCUUGUCAUCCAUCCAUUCACAUCCUAGAGUAUAGGAAGAGUUGCACCCACUGUAUUCUUUAAAAUGAAUUCUGUUUUCUUAUUGCUUUUGUUUUAAAACUCAUUGUCCAAUUCACUGUACAGUAAGGAUGAGCAAAUCUUUAAAUUUUAGUUUCUUGUUUUUUCACUCCAAAAUUCUUCCCAUUUCCAAAUCAGUUUGAAUUUCCCCCCCAAAAAAGUCCCCAUGGAAAUUCAUCUGCAUUUUAGUGCAAAGUUAUCCUAAUAUAAGCACAGCUUUGUAUGCCAUUUUUUGCCUAAUAUGCACUUUUCCCCAAGCACUUUCCCCCUUAUUUCUGUAUACUGUUUUCAGUGGUUGGCACAUUUCUGUACACAUUGCAAAAUUCAGAAAUACACAUUUUUUUAUACCAAAAAAUGGCUGUGCUUAAGCUGUGUAUUAUUGUGAAAAGUGUGAAUUAGGUAGGUACACCUAUAAAUACAAGUGAAUUGUUAAUGGAGAAAUCCGAGGGCUCCCUUGGACAAAAAGCAAAGACACCAACCAGGACAAUUGGAGCAAAACAGCAGACAGUAGGCUUGGUAUUUAUUGAGACUGUCAUGACAGGACUCCAACUCACUACAGGAUGAAGCAAGAUGGAAGCCCUGAACAAAAGAAGACCCCAACUUUUAUUAGCUACUAAUCCCCCAUGCUACACCCCUAAGUGGGGUAAGGUAAAAGGUAAAGGACCCCUGGACAGUUAAGUCCAGUCAAAGGUGACUAUGAGGUGCGGCACUCAUCUCACUUUUCAGGCCAACGGAGCCGGCGUUUGUCCACAGACAGCUUUCCAAGUCACUUGGCCAGCAUGACUAAACAGCUUCUGGUGCAACGGAGCACCACGACAGAAGCCAGAGCGCACAGAAAUGCCAUUUACCUGCAGGCCGCAGCGGUACCUAUUCAGCGCUGUCUUUAGCAUGUGCGCCGUCGGGGUGCAAAGAUCCACCCAGUGUCCCCAAAUUUAGUUUAGCCCCCAAAUUAACACCACCACACUUAAACUUAUAAGUAUUGUUUAGGCACCUACUUAGGAGAAACAUCAGUCAUGUCAAAGGUGCUGCUGACCCCGCUGCCGCAUAGCAGCUCAAUACAAUACGUAACAUAAUAUUUUGAUGUAAGAGUUAAUUUCGCGUGCGUGGCGCUGUUGAGAAUGACAAGCGCCACCGCUGGUGUGGCACGUCUUUGGUAAAUGAGUGCGCAAAGUCGAAAGUCCUUUAGUGAAACAAUAGGUAUACAUUUUGGUAGUACCUAGGUAUAUAUGUAUUUUGUUUUUCUAGCUUGAUCAAAAUUAUUUAAUAUUUCAUAACAGGUAGAUAGUUAAGAGCUUAGGCGGCUUCAGCAGCAAGCACCUGGCGCCCCCCCGAAUUUAGCACCCGGGUGCCCCGCACCCCUUGCACCCUUGGGUAAAGACGGCCCUGCACCUAUUUAUCUACUUGCACUGGAAUGCUUUCAGACUGCGAGGUUGGCGGAAGCUUUCACUAGGAGCCAAGCCUUGAGUGUGGCAGGCCCUGCCCUGUGCAACUCCCCACCAUAUUGUUUUGACAGGCCUAUGCACUAUGGAUUUUCUCUUUUUCAUCCAAUCAGUAUUUAUUGAUGGUUUUAAUGAAUCCUUUGGGCUGACUUCAUUCUUAUAUGUUGUACACUGCCGUGAUAUAUUUUGUAUGAAAGUGUGGAUUAUAAAUACAUAAGCAAAUAAAUAACCACCGUUUGUAGAUGCUGGCAAUGAGAAAUGGAGUGUUAGCAGUGGAACAGGAUUUGGAAGGUCAUAAAUAAGCCUCUUCAUUUGCCAAACAGGCCCAAACAAUGGGCCCUAAACUCUGUCAACCCUACAGCUGUCUUAAUUAAUUCCCUCCCAUUAAUGGAAAUUGGAUUAGAAAAAGAAAACAGCGAGAAAGGGAAAGAGAAACUACCUUGGCAUAGGAAGCAGUGGUAGCCAGGGCAGUAAAAAGAUGACAACCAUAAGUGAAAGAUGCCAUCUACCUUCCAAUAAAAGUCUUUGCUGAAAUGGUUUGGAAGGUCAGUGUGUCCUAAUGGGUGCUAAAUGCAUUAUCUUCAAAGACUAGGAAGCGUGGAGACUGUGUGAGCACUUAUUGUUCCAGACCUACUGAAAUUCAGUGGGUAUAAUACUUUUUAUAAAAGGAAACGAUUGAUUUUGUUUCGUGUGUACCAAGGGAAACCAAGCUAAUGGUUAAUAAAAGUUGCUGGAGUGGUGGGAACAUACCCUUCCCCCUCUCCUGAGCUGACAUAAGUGAGCUGACAAUUCCUGGAAGGAAUAGGGUUAAGAGCCAGCAAUUUACACAUGGCACAGUGUGUGAAUGUGCUUUCAUCCUCUUCCUUAAACCCCCCAGAUGCUAGUUCUACUACUCAAAAAGGUUGCAUGAAAAUGAAGAUGUAGAGUGGAGGUGAACACAACCGUAAUUGUCUUUUCCUGGUUUGCAAGCUUUUUAUUAUUAUUAUUUGUGUGCGCUUUGUUUGAAUUUGAAUCAAAGCAGAGUUCUCUGCCUGUGGCAAACCCGCACGCUGAUUGUUGAGGUUCUCAAAAGUUUGUUGAACAAAGCCACUUUCUCACAAAGAACCAGGAACUCGAACGAUAAGCUUGUGUGGAGUAUGAGGAACCUGUUGCAACAGGAGCUGAUGUUCUCCUGCCAGGAAGGAACUUUACCUGUUUGAUAAUAAGGUCUUAGACGUUGGCUUAAAUAGCACACAAGCUUAAAAGCAAUAGGUCUUGCCUGAUAUUUAAGAAAGCAGUUUCCUCUCUUCACAUUCCUAACUGAAGUAUUCCGCAGGGCCUCUCAUAUAAUCAGUGGUGGAGCAAGCCAAUCAGGCGCCUAGGGCAGAACGCUCUGUGGGACCUUCAAGGAAUCUGCCUGCCUCCUCCCACUCAGCUGAGGGAGAGGUGGCGGGCGGAUCGUCUGGGGCCAUGCGGAGCCUGCGGGUGCCCAAGCCAUUGCAUCAUUCCCAGGAGAGAUGCGUGGCUCAGGCGCACUGCAGGCCCCACAUGGCUCUUGCUGGCUUUUGCAGGAGGUGGGGGAAGGGACAGAGGGCAGCCCCUCAGUCUCUUCCCCCACCUUGCGGAGAAGCUCGCAAGAGCCACGCUCCCUUUAAAGAGCCAUGUGGAGCACGUGUGCGGCUCUUGGGGGCUUUUCCCCGAGGAGGGAGAAGGCACUGAUGGGCUGCCCUUCUCCCUCCUCGGGGAAAAGCCUCCAAGAGCCACACACACACUCCACACGGCUCUUUAAUGGGAGCACUGAGCAGAGCUUCCUGCGUGCAUUCGCUCCAUAAGACACACACACAUUUCCCCUUACUUUUUAGGAGGGAAGAAGAAGAAGAAGAGUUUGGAUUUGAUAUCCCGCCUUUCACUCCCCUUCAGGAGUCUCAAAGCGGCUAACAUUCUCCUUUCCCUUCCUCCCCCACAACAAACACUCUGUGAGGUGAGUGGGGCUGAGAGACUUCAAAGAAGUAUGACUGGCCCAAGGUCACCCAGCAGCUGCAUGUGGAGGAGCGGAGACGCGAACCCAGUUCCCCAGAUUACGAGACUACCGCUCUUAACCACUACACCACACUGGCUCUCGUGUGUCUUAUAGUGUGUCUUAUAGAGCAAAAAAUACGGUAACUUUUUCCAUGUUACUGAUCAUCCUUCCUCCUACUGCAGCCAGUAGGCAUGAGUCAGGCAUUAUAUUUAUAAUCACCUUUAAUGGUUUAAAAGUCAGCUUUGAUUGUCUUACAUUAAUUGGGGUAAUGCCCAAAUCCUAUUAGCAAUUUAUGGGUUACAAAGGUUGAAUGGGCAAAGUAUAAUGUCAUAUUCUCCACCAAUUGCAGACACUGAUUCAGAAUUUUUACUGGUUCCCUAGAUUCAAAUUAAAAGAAGUGAGGCACUCAGGUAUUGGUGACAACUCAGGCCAGUUUUCCAGGUGACCUCUCUCUGUGUCUUUAUGUAAAUGUUAAAUACCCUAUCGGGGAUAAAAAUUGCCCUUGAGAGGCCCCAUGGGUUAGUGGCCAAGAGGCUAAAGAAUAAUCCCUCAGCACCACUGCUGGGAUGUGCUCCCCCAGACAGACUUCUUUCAGUGUGGAUUAUUUAGUUCAGAGGAGACCAUGAGACCCUUUUUGGAGGACCAGCUUGGACUGUGAAGAAAUUCCAUGCAUCAGAAGACCAAGGUGGAAGAGGGCAUUCUACUGUCUUGUUAAAUAGUAAUGAUUUAAUACCUGCUAAGGGACGCAGGUGGCGCUGUGGGUUAAACCACAGAGCCUAGGGCUUGCCGAUCAGAAGGUCGGCGGUUCGAAUCCCCGCAACAGGCUGAGCUCCCAUUACUCGGUCCCAGCUCCUGCCAACCUAGCAGUUCGGAAGCACAUCAAAGUGCAAGUAGAUAAAUAGGUACUGCUCUGGCGGGAAGGUAAACGGCAUUUCCGUGCACUGCUCUGGUUCACCAUAAGCAGCUUAGUCAUGCUGGCCACAUGGCCCAGAAGCUGUAUGCUGGCUCCCUCAGCCAAUAAAGCGAGAUGAGCGCCGCAACCCCAGAGUCAUCCGUGACUGGACCUAUUGGUCAGGGGUCCCUUUACCUUUAAGUAGGAGUUGAGUGUAUGGACAUCCACUAUUCCCAUGAUUGUGAUUUCAGUGGUCUUGAGGAAGCUUAACUCUGUGUUUGGCUGUGGCCAAUGCACAAACAUGUCUGCAUAUGACCGUAUAGUGCACAGCUGUGUAUCAAGCAUGCUCAAAACCAUUAUUAUUUUUCCAUGGCUUGUGGCUUGAAUACGCAAUAGGAGCUCAGCAUGCAUGCUAUUGAGCUGGAAAUCAUUGUAAACAACCUCAUUUGGCUUUGUUAAAAGGUUUGAUUAAAAGUACUGAAACAUCAUUCCUCUUUUAUCGCAGUGUGCAAGUGUAAGUAGACGGGCAGCAUUUAGUUUCUUGUAAUAGAUACUCCCUUGGUGUCACUAUGUUGUGCCACAAAUAGAUUGUUGCUGUCUUUGAGAUGUUCCUUGUAGAGUGCAACCGGUAUUAACUUGCUUAUACAUUGAGCCUGGCCAAACAAACAACCCCUGACAACCUUCUGCUUCUAUAUAUGUAUAAUAGGAAUGGAAAUGUUAUGCUGUCAGUCAGGGAAUUCAAGACUUGGUAUUCAUGGCAUCACCUACUUAGCUAAGUUUAAUGUGCUGUGUGUCGACAGUGAGCAAUUGAACCAAACUGAUUAUCAGAUUUUUCAUCAAGUUCUAUUUCUCAGGUUGAAUAACACGGCACAAUUGGUUACUGGCUCAAUAGCAAGGGACUGAAUUUAUGCAAUAAAUGCUCCCUACAUACAGUUUGUAUACAAAGCCAGUGACCGCUUGCCAUAUACAGCCAUGAUUGAUAUUAAUUAAUCUAGAAAUAAUAUAACUACUAUUCAUAGUGACUUUAAUAGAAGCCAUUUGCACCAGUACAGUGGUACCUUGGGUUACAGACGCUUCAGGUUACAGACGCUUCAGGUUACAGACUCCACUAACCCAGAAAUAGUACUUCGGGUUAAGAAUUUUGCUUCAGGAUGAGAACAGAAAUCAUGCUCCGGCGGCACAGGGGCAGCAGGAGGCCCAUUAGCUAAAGUGGUGCUUCAGGUUAAGAACAAUUUCAGGUUAAGAACAGACCUCCAGAACGAAUUACAGGUACCACUGUAGUUUGAUAUAUAGCAGCAAUAGUGAACCCACAGUCCUCUGGAUAUUGUUGGACUCCAGUUCCCAUCAGUCUUCAGGGCUAAUUGUCAGGGAUCAUGGGAGUUGUAGUCUAAUAACAUGUGGAGUGCCACAGGCUCUACGCCCCGGCUACAGGGAGUAUACAGUGGUACCUCGGGUUAAGUACUUAAUUCAUUCCGGAGGUCUGUUCUUAACCUGAAACUGUUCUUAACCUGAAGCACCACUUUAGCUAAUGGGGCCUCCUGCUGCCGCCUCGCUGCCGGAGCACAAUUUCUGUUCUGAUCCUGAAGCAAAGUUCUUAACCCGAAGUAAUAUUUCUGGGUUAGCGGAGUCUGUAACCUGAAGUGUAUAUAACCUGAAGCGUAUGUAACCCAAGGUACCACUGUAUUAAACUACUGUGGGAAUCAGUGGGUUUGUAUAGAUCAGAUGCCAAAAUUAUCUCCUAGUCCAUUUCCUUGACUGCAGCUCCUCAUAUACCAAGGAACCAAACGGGCUCCAAUGUGCUUGAGAGGGCAAUGGUGUCAAUGGUCCGAUGAGUCUUGCCAUUCCAUAGUGAAACGAGGGCCUCAACAGCAUCGUCUGUUUUAUCCACUGGAAAAUCCAUCUCCUUCCAAGGGGAUGAAGCCUGGCAAAUUCCAGAAAGAAAAGUGCAGCAGUUCUAUUGCAAAGGCAGAUUUCACACUUGGGGCGGGGGAUAGAAAACACAUUUUCUUCCCCCAGUUUCCCCACCCACAGAGGUCAAUUUCAAAACUGGGGGCAUGACGGACGUGUCCCUAUUUAAGAAACCUGCCGGAGUGCAAACAAAUAGCUCCAGAGGUUGUCGUGCUAGGUUCUUUUUUUCCUUUGCUCAAAAAAAUUGAAAAGUCAUUCCCCCCCCAUUGUCCCCCCCCCCAAAGGAUCCUCCAUGAAGGGGAGAGGGGAAGGGAGAGGGAAAGAAGUGGACCACCACAAUAGUCAAACUUUGCGACUUAUCUUCUGUUCUCACAGCCAGACUCAGAGGUCCCUAUAAAUUUUAUUAUCUUAACCUGUAUAUUAAGGUACUUUUAUAGCUCUGUUUAGAGUAGGUAAUGUCUUGAUAAUAUAAAUGUUUUAAGUUUUUUGUAUUAAUCCAGCAUAUUUUCUUUUAAUUGUUGAAUGAUCCUGUAUACAUUGUGGCAGCCUUUGGCUAUGUGCAAUUAAACUGACUGACUGACUACUCAGAGGACCCACAUGAUGAAUAACUUUACUUCACCAUCCCUCCCCCCCCAUCACGGUGAUUGGAGUGUCCUCGGAAAACAAUGUAAUUGUGAUUAAAAACUAGGCCCAUACAUCAAAACAAAAGACCCUCCAUUCUCCACCACACCUCCCUGCUCUCCACUGGCUCCUUUCAUGAGCUCUGAGAGUUUCCUCAGGUAACUUGGAGAAGUUUCUCAGAAAAGAAAAUGCCCGGUCUUUUGGGCGGAGGUUGGAAGAACUGAUGCUGCAGAGUUACUUGGAAAGUAGGAGAGUCCCCAAUCUGCCUCGACACACCUUGUUUGUAGCAAGACCUGAGUCUGCCUUGAAUCACCCUGAGUCACCUCGUAGUUCGGAGUGCACACUAUAUGCCCCUUUGAGAUCAGUCUGCUUAAGCCUCUUGGUUUCCGUGAGCUUCUGCAUGCUUCAGUACUGCAUUGGACAAUGCAGUGACAUAUUUGAAGAACUCCCUGGAGGAGAAGGAGGCUUUGAACGUGCAUUUGGGUGGCAGGCCAGUCUGCACCUUUGUUCUAUCUUCAGUAUGUACAGUACUCGGAUAAUGAGGCCAUUGGGACCCUAAGGAGCAAAAACUUUCCCUGGGGUGUGAAGCAAGAAUCAGAGUGAGCCAUUUUUUCCACUAGUAAGUGCUUCCCAGCAAUGAUUCUCUGAAUGCCUCAUCCCGAAGCAUAAAUCAAACACACUGAACUAUUCUGUGCAUGUUGAAUCCCGUGUUUUUUUAAUGUCCACAAGGUGGCGGACUGAUGACCCACAAUAUCCCACCAUUAAGUGGCUGCGAGAGAGCCCAGGUUAGGAGAACGGGUCUUUUGCAUGUUUGUUUCUGUCCCUGCUCUUUUGACAAGGUGGGGCACUCCAGUAUGAAAAAGAAGAAUUGGGAUUCAUGUAAAAGUAUCCACCUUUAAGAAAAAUCAAACAGAGCAACAAAACAAACCAACCACAACCUCCAUGGAACUAUGUAAAACUCAGAGAUUCCCUCCUUCUUUGCCUAGAAAAGUGAAACUAACACUAGGAAAAAAUUAAGUAUGACAAGUCAGAUUGGUUUGGGGAUUUGGAGCUUUCAAGAAGCCCACAAUUCCAUUGCACAAGAGUUUUGAGCAAACUUGAAUGUCAGCAAUGGUUAGAUGUGAAGCAAGGAACAGGUUGAUGAUUCUGACUCCUCAAGGGGCAUAGGUUUCAAAGCGUAUCUCUAAACAUUAUUGUGUUGAAUGUUAGGGAUGUAUGCCCACUGCUUCCUCCUCAAAAGUAUUUGUGCUCCUCAAGCAUUCUGUUCAAAGCCCCCAAAACCCUUGAGGACAAAACUGGCUUGCUGUGUGGAGCAGAGUCACAACAUUAUCUUCCCAGCAGCAGCGGCCUGCAGCUUACUGGGACAGAGAAAGGAAGAUUGGGGCUGUGCGGGAUAGGGUUGCCAUACGUCCGGGAAAACCCGGACAUAUCCUCUGGGGGGGGCAACAUGUCCAUCUGGGCAGAUGUUUACAUUUUAAAGGAAAUGUCUGGGGUAUUUGGGCUCGGGCAAUUCAGGCUGAGGCUUGGGCUGCUCUGCAUGCCUCAGCCACUGCCAGCCCGAGCUGGGAAAAGAUGCGCGCAGGCACAGUGGUGGCAUCCCCGCUUACCUGUGCAUCUCUUUUGCCAGCUCAGGCUGGCAGUGGCUUGGGGUGUCCUCUUUUUUGCUCUUCAAGAUAUGGCAACCCAGGAGCACUGGCACAGCCAAUCCAGUGUUCCUGCCAGUCCACCCACUCAGCUUUAGAGAAUGGCCACACACUGUUGUCCACCGCACCUUCCAUUGUGUCCUAGACAGAAGCUUCCUGUCUGCCCUUGGUUCAAUGCAGGCUUGGUUCAAUGCAGGAUUGGCGUUGGACUCUUGGUUUCCCCACACCCAUUGACAUCACACUGGCCUUGGCAGAGUGAUCAGGGCUCCAGGGCCUUUCACCACCUUUUUGGUAGAUAGCUGAAAAUGGGAAUGAACACAAUGAGGCAUCUUCUGGGAGAUGAAGGGGUACUUCCUCAAUGCCAUGGAGCUCUAGGGUGGGACUGACAAACUCUCUCCAUGUCUCGAGAAUAUGAGGCAGGCAGAAUUCCCUUAGAACAGUUAAUGUGCUGGUGAGAAAGGUCCUUGUUACUUUCCACAUCAUUUAGAUUCGAUUAUUGCCCAUUCACAUUUAAAAACAUCCCUCAAAAGAGACAGAUGGGGGGUUGCCAGUCUCUUUCUCCCUAUCGUUGCCACUAGUUACUUGUAGAAAUCUCUUGAACAGACUCUGGCACAACAUCCUUUAAAACAACUUUUUUUGCCUAUUUGUUAUGUAUUGUAAAGAUACAAUGUUAAUUUGAAGUCAUUCAUAAACAUACCACCUUACCCUUGUAUUUCUGUAUAUCUUGUUUUUUGCAAGAUGCUUUUAGUUUCUUUGUAGGGGUGGGUGGGAUAUGCAUUUUAAAAACAAAUAAAAAGGGAGAGCUAUCAUCUCAGGCUUCUACUUUUGAGAAGACGGUUUUCUGUUUUGCCUUUUACCCAUAAUACGGUCACUAGUGAAUGUAGUAAGCAGUUAACUAUCCAUCUUUUCUCUGAAAGUUUACAUAUUAACGUACCCCAUAAGUUUCAAUGGAACAGAAGGAUAUUGUAUCAUAGCCUGCAAAGCACAAAUGAGUUUACCCACACACUUUCAUACCCCAGCUAGCACAAUGGAACCCUUCAGUUAAAUUAAAAAUAAUCCCACACUUCUGCAAAGUGCACCACUACUCAUUUUCACCCGUCUUCCCACAGUUCAACAGAGACUUCUUUUAGGUGGGAGAAUGAUCAGCAUGAUCACAGAUUUGCAAGUAUUUUAUUCAAUAAACCUCUAGCAAGCAGCACCCAUGUGUCCCUAGGAUUACAGUCAUACCUCAGGUUACAGACGCUUCGGGUUGUGCGAUUUCGGGUUGCUCACCGUGCUGAACCUGGAAGUACCGGAAUGGGUUACUUCUGGGUUUCAGUGCUUGCGCAUGUGCAGAAGCGCCGAAUCGCAACCCGUGCAUGCAUAGACACGGCGCUGCGGGUUGCGAAAGCUGCAGGUUGCGAACGUGCUUCCCACAUGGAUCACAUUUGCAACCCCAGCGUCCACUGUAUAGUUUAUGGCAGCUAUAGUUCCAUUCCAUUCUAUUUUUUUAAUCCCAACUCUGUGUAUAUUUGAACUAGCAACUUUCCAAAUGUGUUUGUGCCUGCUUUGCAGACUGUGCCACAGAGUUCCUUUCUUGCUGCUACUACCUAGUUGUAUUGUGGAAGUAAAUUGUUUUGCAGCUGUGGGACUUAUAAGCCAGGAUUGCAAGGUAUAGUUGCAAAACUGUAGGGAACCAAAAGUGUAACAGUGCUUCAAAUAUGCCUGAGAAAUAACGGAGCAUAAGAACUGGAAUUCAGAAUGAAAAUCCUCAGGCAUUGUUUUCUCCCUGCAGUGUGCACUCUCUGAACCUAUGUGGGAUCCAUGCUAUGGUGAAGAGCCCUGAAGCGAAAACAUAG